rnacentral:rRNA from 1 species
UACGUAGGGUGCGAGCGUUGUCCGGAAUUACUGGGCGUAAAGAGCUCGUAGGCGGCUUGUCGCGUUGUUCGUGAAAAUUUACCGCUUAACGGUGAACUUGCGGGCGAUACGGGCAGGCUAGAGUACUGCAGGGGAGACUGGAAUUCCUGGUGUAGCGGUGAAAUGCGCAGAUAUCAGGAGGAACACCGGUGGCGAAGGCGGGUCUCUGGGCAGUAACUGACGCUGAGGAGCGAAAGCGUGGGGAGCGAACAGG